rnacentral:rRNA from 1 species
UACGGGGGGGGCAAGCGUUGUUCGGAAUUACUGGGCGUAAAGGGGACGUAGGCGGCCAACUAAGUCCGACGUGAAAUCCCAAGGCUUAACCUUGGAACUGCGUCGGAUACUGGAUGGCUUGAAUUCGGGAGAGGGAUGCAGAAUUCCAGGUGUAGCGGUGAAAUGCGUAGAUAUCUGGAGGAACACCGGUGGCGAAGGCGGUUCUCUGGGCAUUACCUGACGCUGAGGAGCGAAAGUGUGGGGAGCGAACAGG